CUCCUCUACAGCCUUGAUGGAAUAUUCUGGCCUGAAUCCCAUGGCAGGCAUCUUGCAGAAGUACUCAGCCAAAAUUGGAGACUGGGACAGUUAAAAUUGUACCUCAACAAAUCAGAUGAGCAAGCUGUGGAAAUACUGUGUGAGGGGCUGAAACAUCCAGACUGUAAUGUACAGAAACUAUGGCUUUAUGGAACAUUUCUGACCAAAUCCUGCAGCAGGCAUUUUGCAGAAGUACUGAG